GUACAGAUGUCAGAGCAUCCUUCCGUAUGAUUGAAGCGCCCACUAGAGGCCACAGCGGGGCCAAACACCGGGAUUUUGUGGCUGGCCUUGAACUCACAGAGGUCCUCCUGGCCUCCACCUCCUGGAUGCUGGGAUUAAAGGCAUGCAUUACCACAGCCAUCCCGAUAGGUAUUUUUGGGAAGCCAUCAGGAUGAAGAAGGAACCCAGAGUGGAAGGGGAAGGUCGGUGAGGAGGAAAAGAGAUAAUGGGUGGCUUUGUAUCUGAGAAGGGACCGGAGAGGGCCUGCUAAUUGACAGAAUUUCAGGAUGUGUAGAUGCAAGAUGGGGGAAACAGCCAGGGUGAGGGACACAAGCUUAAGGGCACACCCCAGGGGCCCCUUAAAUACCAAUCGGGAGGCUGGAGAUGUCUUAGGAAGGGUGCUUGCCUAGAAGCAUGAAGCCCUCCUCGUAUAUGGUAUCCCAACAUUAGGGAAGCGGAGUCAAAUCGAUCAGAAGUUCAAGGUUAGCCUCAGCUACAAAGUUUAACGUCAGACUGGGCUACGCAAGAUGUCAGCAGGUGUGUCCAGCUUCUGAUUCCCCAGCUGUGAGGUUUACCAAAUAAGAACCAUAUCUGUCCCAGUUCUGGCUUUACCCUGUGUUUGAUGUAGGGACAUAGCAAAGGUACAACCUGAGGUGCCCCCAUUGCCCAACCAGGCGACGUCUGAGUCUCCUACAGCCUGUCUCCCCAAAGCAAGGAUGGCGGACAGACAAACACAUGAUUAACAUUUAUUUCUAAGUCUUCCCAAACAGGCCAGCUGGGGUCUAAUGUGGCUGCCUGGACGCACUCCUGUGCUUCUGGGGUUUGUCGGUCUUUCCCCAGGGCUUUGUGGGUCCAGAAGUCCUCAUGGAGCCUGGAAGUGUCAGACUCGGAAGAGCUGCCUUGUGAAGGGACAGGAUUUGCACAGAGAGGCGAGAAGGCUGCACACAUCCUGGAGCCUGCUCGGCCUAUCAGCACAGCCGGAGAACGGAGGUGAGAGAAUAGAACUCCGUAGAAGGGACAGGGAGCUUUGACUAUGAGGUGAACAGGACCAGCACUGCUCAGCCUCUGAGCCCCAAGGGAGUGAGCAAGAGGUUUCCCACCCCACCUUCUUCUCGGCUUCUAAAAGGAUGACCGAGAGAGAGAGAGGGUUCCAGUUUGUCAAACUGAGUUGUAAGCAGCCCCAUGUCCCAAAGAGGGCUGCAGUGCAGCCAGCCUGUCUUGUAGGCUGUGAUCCUUGGUCCCUUCCCUGGAGGAGAUGUGGAGGCGGCCUCUGCAGCCUCAUCCCCGCUGGACCUUCACUGAGCCUUCUUGGCCACCUUCUGGCUCUUCAGCAGCACAUAGGUGAUGAACAACCCUGGAACACACAGAAAGGAAGGACUGGGAUGAUCUGAUCGAAAGCUAGGUGGCCAGGCACAAUGGCCCACAUGCAAGGUCAGGCUCCCACCUAACCACCCUGAGGGCGCAUCUUCCCAGUCAUUCACUAGGCCACACAGCCACUCAGGGUCAGUCAACCGUCCCCACAGGAAUGGUGCAAGAUGCUCUGUUGAGACCUUCAGACUCACAGGGACUGGCUUGCCCUCCUACCCACCCUGUGCGAUCCUCCAACCAUGGGGUUCCUCGGUCACCCUAAGCACUCUUCUAGGCUCCUGGGCUAGAGCUUAGGAUACAAGGACAUCGUCCCCAGCCCACAGAGCUGUAAGAGAUGCCAGGGUGACUUGAGGCAUGAACAGUGAAGAUGAAAGUGAGGCUGGGACAGGAAAAGAGGACAUUGCCCCGAGAACCUGAAGCCCUGGGAACACCACCAGAGGGGCUUCUGCCUGUGGCCUAAGGAGGAACACGAAAGCCCCAGGGAGAGUUGGGGACAAGGUGACUCUAAGCAGAUAUAUAGCAAGUGCCAAAGUGUGGAAGAACUCUCAGGGGUGAAGGCGGCCAGCCUUCGGGGUGCCCUGCCCCAGAUCAGGAGACCUUUGGAGAACAGAAGACUUACCCACAAACAGGAGCAGCAGGAGGCCUGCGGCCAAUGGGAGGAGGACAGCGUAGGCACGGGGCAGGAAGUACUUGUGGAUGACAUGCUGGCUGUCAAUGAAUGGC